rnacentral:lncRNA from 1 species
AAAUUGUAGUCUCCCGAAGCUUUGUCAAAAGCUAAAAAACUCUCAAGAGCAUUUUUUUUAAAUUUGAAAAUCAUUUAAAGUCAAAAUUUUAUAUACAUUUAUUAAAUAUUGAUAUUCUUGCCAUAAAAAGUGUUUAAAUUGUUAUUAAUAAACUUAACAUUCUCAACUUGUAACUCGCAACAUUAAUAAUUCAUAUGCAUUUUCAUCGAUUAAAUUUUGUCAAAUUCAGUAAUUGUUGCAUUUAUUAUUAGCUUUUCAUUUUAAAAAGAAAGAUAUAUAUUUCAUAAUAUUCAUAUUUAUGGUUGUUAAUGAUUGUUUGUCUAUUUGAUGUAUUCAAAAUUACUGGAUGAAAGUAUGUUGGUUGUUUUGGGGAUUCCUAACCUCUAAAAAUAGAUUGUUAUGGAAUACCCCCUCAUAAGGUGCAUGUUUUCAGUUUUGCUAUAUAACAAAUGAUAAAAAAAUCUUAAUAUUUUGGUUGGAUAAGACAGGUGUUAUGUUUUCAAAGGUUAACUAGCAAAAAUUAUUCAAUUGACCUCUUGGUUAUAGUUCAGAUCAUAAAUGUUUGCGAUUAAAAACAAAGUAAUGGUUAAAAAAAAAAGUCCUUUUAAUAGCUGCAAAUUUAUCUACACUGCAAUAUAAACAUUUACAAUUUGAAGAAAAAAAAUUAUGGUAUAAAAUUUUGUCCUUUUGAAUAGAUGCAAAUUUAUCUACAUGUUUUACUGCACAAUAUUGCAAUAACUUAAUAGUUGUAAAGUGUAUUGUUUAAUUCAAAGAAUUCUGAUGUUGUAUAUAUGUGAUAGAUGUUGCAUUAAAUGAUCUCAUGUAUUAUGUUU